GUGUAGAGUUUUAGUUGGAAGAAAAUCUAACGGUUGGUGGAGAACGACCGUUUGGUUCCUCACCUCACUCCCACUCUCUCACGUUAUCCCGUCACUCUGUCUGUGAGUGCUGCGUCACCUCUAAGAAGAAGAAAAAGAUGGCACUUCCCCUUCUUCCGAUUCCCAUCAUUCCACUUCCCAAGCAACAACAAUCAUUCCCUUCCAAUAUCCGCCGCAGAGCCACCACGGUGGCGGCGGAGCUCCAGACAGCGGUUGUGCGGACCGGUGGAAUCGAUUUCCAAUUUCCGUCUGUUGAUGCUCCCACUCAUAAGGUCACAGUCCACGACAGGCAGAGAGGAGUCGUUCACGAGUUUGUCGUACCUGAGGACCAGUAUAUAUUGCACACUGCUGAGUCCCAGAAUAUUACCCUUCCGUUCGCCUGCAGGCACGGUUGUUGUACUAGCUGUGCUGUACGUAUAAAGAAUGGACAGAUUAGACAACCAGAGGCGCUUGGGAUAUCUGCCGAGUUGAAAGAGAAGGGUUAUGCACUUCUUUGUGUGGGCUUCCCAACGUCUGAUGUUGAAGUGGAAACUCAAGAUGAAGAUGAGGUAAUGAGCAAGACUACAAUUGUAGUUUGAAGCAUUUUGCGAUAUGUGCAUGAGGUGUAUUGGCUUCAAUUUGGACGUUAUUUUGCCAGAGGACCAGUGGAAAGAGAUGACUAUGCCUUGGAGUUGGCCAUGGCUGAUGAGUAAGCAAUGUAAAUAUCUGACAAUUAGUGGAGCAAAGAAUGUGAAUAUUCGGUUUCCCUUCUUUUCUCCCUUUUUUUUCAUGUUUCUACUUUGUAGUCUUGUCUUGGUUUAUUCACCCCUCCCCCCCUAUAUAUAUACAUAAAGCAUCGCCCCUAAUUUUUGUUUGAAAUUGAAGAUAGUUGAUUUAGUUAGUUCAAUCAUUUUCUCUUGUCAAAUAAAUACUGUUAGACAAGUUAACAUGGCAUGUUAAGUGUAUCAAUAUGAGGCGGAGAUUAAAAUGACAUUUGAAAUA